rnacentral:rRNA from 12 species
GACGAGGCACUACGGUGCUGAAGCAACAAAUGCCCUGCUUCCAGGAAAAGCCUCUAAGCAUCAGGUAACAUCAAAUCGUACCCCAAACCGACACAGGUGGUCAGGUAGAGAAUACCAAGGCGCUUGAGAGAACUCGGGUGAAGGAACUAGGCAAAAUGGUGCCGUAACUUCGGGAGAAGGCACGCUGACACGUAGGUGAAGUGAUUUACUCAUGGAGCUGAAGUCAGUCGAAGAUACCAGCUGGCUGCAACUGUUUAUUAAAAACACAGCACUGUGCAAACACGAAAGUGGACGUAUACGGUGUGACGCCUGCCCGGUGCCGGAAGGUUAAUUGAUGGGGUCAGCGCAAGCGAAGCUCCUGAUCGAAGCCCCGGUAAACGGCGGCCGUAACUAUAACGGUCCUAAGGUAGCGAAAUUCCUUGUCGGGUAAGUUCCGACCUGCACGAAUGGCGUAAUGAUGGCCAGGCUGUCUCCACCCGAGACUCAGUGAAAUUGAACUCGCUGUGAAGAUGCAGUGUACCCGCGGCAAGACGGAAAGACCCCGUGAACCUUUACUAUAGCUUGACACUGAACAUUGAGCCUUGAUGUGUAGGAUAGGUGGGAGGCUUUGAAGUGUGGACGCCAGUCUGCAUGGAGCCGACCUUGAAAUACCACCCUUUAAUGUUUGAUGUUCUAACGUGGACCCGUAAUCCGGGUUGCGGACAGUGUCUGGUGGGUAGUUUGACUGGGGCGGUCUCCUCCUAAAGAGUAACGGAGGAGCACGAAGGUUGGCUAAUCCUGGUCGGACAUCAGGAGGUUAGUGCAAUGGCAUAAGCCAGCUUGACUGCGAGCGUGACGGCGCGAGCAGGUGCGAAAGCAGGUCAUAGUGAUCCGGUGGUUCUGAAUGGAAGGGCCAUCGCUCAACGGAUAAAAGGUACUCCGGGGAUAACAGGCUGAUACCGCCCAAGAGUUCAUAUCGACGGCGGUGUUUGGCACCUCGAUGUCGGCUCAUCACAUCCUGGGGCUGAAGUAGGUCCCAAGGGUAUGGCUGUUCGCCAUUUAAAGUGGUACGCGAGCUGGGUUUAGAACGUCGUGAGACAGUUCGGUCCCUAUCUGCCGUGGGCGCUGGAGAACUGAGGGGGGCUGCUCCUAGUACGAGAGGACCGGAGUGGACGCAUCACUGGUGUUCGGGUUGUCAUGCCAAUGGCACUGCCCGGUAGCUAAAUGCGGAAGAGAUAAGUGCUGAAAGCAUCUAAGCACGAAACUUGCCCCGAGAUGAGUUCUCCCUGAGACUUAGAGUCUCCUGAAGGAACGUUGAAGACGACGACGUUGAUAGGCCGGGUGUGUAAGCGCAGCGAUGCGUUGAGCUAACCGGUACUAAUGAACCGUGAGGCUUAACCUU